AUGCUGCAGAAUUUUUGGUAGUUGACUAGAUGAUAUGGUUAAUUCAACUGAGUUGGCAUUCUGUUAACAGUUUGUGAGCAAUGUUACAAGUUAGAGUUAUGGUUAAAUGAAUGGAUUUGGUUUGCACUUAGUUUUAACUAUGAAUUUGGGUUUACCAUGGAAAAAUGCAGGACUCAAAUGAGGUAUUUCUACUGUCAUUGCAGGAUGCAGGGUGAAGUGCAUUUCCUCAUGGUGCAACUAUUGGUGUAUUAUCUUGACUCGUUAGGAAAUGAUUGGACAACAUACCCGGAUAUGAAGGUCCUAAUUGACACCGUCCUACAAGCUUUUCGGGCCCAACGAGAUAUCCAAACCUCAAGG